GCAGUGUUGGCCGGGAAAGAAUCUUCCGGAAGUCUGUGUCCUAGAAGGUUGGACUGGAGCUGGGAUCCGGUCCUGAUUGAACCCUUCGGUCCCAAGUACCCAAGUGUAGAGGCCGUGGAGCCGCAUGCUCCUGGUAACUGGGCCGUGUGACUCUUCUGUGGCCCCCUCCUGACCUGAGAAAGUGGUGCAGACAUCCCCUGCGUCAUCUGGUCGUUGGAGCACAGAGCCUGACCCACGGAUUGCUGAGGCAGUGAAUUGGAGCAGCUAUGUAGUGCUUGCAACCAGUUACCGUAUUUCCCUGAAGGAAUCGCCACCAACCAGCUCUUCCAGAAUUUAUGAGGUGCUUCCCUCAUCGCCAGCCAUCUCACGCACAAGUGGAUUCUCAUCUUUCAGUCUGUAUCAUUUCAAUGUCAUCUGCUACAGAGAGGCAAUUAGAUAA
ensembl:lincRNA